CACUCCUACGGGAGGCAGCAGUGGGGAAUUUUGGACAAUGGGCGAAAGCCUGAUCCAGCAAUGCCGCGUGAGUGAAGAAGGUCUUCGGGUUGUAAAGCUCUUUUGUCAGGGAAGAAACGGUGAAAGCUAAUAUCUUUUGCUAAUGACGGUACCUGAAGAAUAAGCACCGGCUAACUACGUGCCAGCAGCCGCGGUAAUACGUAGGGUGCAAGCGUUAAUCGGAAUUACUGGGCGUAAAGCGUGCGCAGGCGGUUUUGUAAGUCUGAUGUGAAAUCCCCGGGCUCAACCUGGGAAUUGCAUUGGAGACUGCAAGGCUAGAAUCUGGCAGAGGGGGGUAGAAUUCCACGUGUAGCAGUGAAAUGCGUAGAUAUGUGGAGGAACACCGAUGGCGAAGGCAGCCCCCUGGGUCAAGAUUGACGCUCAUGCACGAAAGCGUGGGGAGCAAACAGGAUUAGAAACCCGGGUAGUCCCAUG
rnacentral:rRNA from 1 species